ACCAGAGCCAUAUCUCCCUGGAGUUCUCGCCUGGAUUCCCACUGAGAAGGGUUGAGCCUGGCCAGUACCUGGAUGGGAGACCUCCUGGGGAAAACUAAGGUUGCUGCUGGAA
rnacentral:rRNA from 1 species